GACGAACGCUGGCGGCGUGCUUAACACAUGCAAGUCGAACGGAAAGGCCCUGCUUGCAGGGUACUCGAGUGGCGAACGGGUGAGUAACACGUGGGUGAUCUGCCCUGCACUUCGGGAUAAGCCUGGGAAACUGGGUCUAAUACCGGAUAGGAGCCAUUUUUAGCGUGAUGGUUGGAAAGUUUUUUCGGUGUAGGAUGAGCUCGCGGCCUAUCAGCUUGUUGGUGGGGUAAUGGCCUACCAAGGCGGCGACGGGUAGCCGGCCUGCGAGGGUGGACGGCCACAUUGGGACUGAGAUACGGCCCAGACUCCUACGGGAGGCAGCAGUGGGGAAUAUUGCACAAUGGGCGCAAGCCUGAUGCAGCGACGCCGCGUGGGGGAUGACGGCCUUCGGGUUGUAGACUCCUUUCGCUAGGGACGAAGCUUUUUGUGACGGUACCUAGAGAAGAAGCACCGGCUAACUACGUG
rnacentral:rRNA from 1 species